rnacentral:tRNA from 1 species
UAGGUGGGUGCUUGUUGGUAAAGCAUUUGAUUGUUAAUUAAAAGUUUGCAGGAUCGAAGCCUGUUCGCCUAG